rnacentral:rRNA from 1 species
AUAGGAGGUCCAGCCUGCCCAGUGACUACGGGUUCAACGGCCGCGGUAUUUUGACCGUGCAAAGGUAGCGCAAUCACUUGUCUCUUAAAUAGAGACCUGUAUGAAUGGCUAGACGAGGGCUUAACUGUCUCCCCCUUCCAGUCAGUGAAAUUGAUCUAUCCGUGCAGAAGCGGGUAUAAUUAUACAAGACGAGAAGACCCUUUGGAGCUUAAGGUACAAAGUUCAACCACGUUAAACGACUCCACAGAAAGCAAGAACUUAGUGGCAAAUGAAACUUUACCUUCGGUUGGGGCGACCACGGAGGAGAAGAAAGCCUCCGAGUGGACUGGGCUAAAUCCCCAAAGCCAAGAGAUACAUCUAUAAGCCGCAGAACAUCUGACCAAGAAUGAUCCGACUGAAAGGCCGAUCAACGAACCAAGUUACCCUAGGGAUAACAGCGCAAUCCUCUCCCAGAGUCCAUAUCGACGAGGGGGUUUACGACCUCGAUGUUGGAUCAGGACAUCCUAAUGGUGCAGCCGCUAUUAAGGGUUCGUUUGUUCAACGAUUAAAGUCC